CCAAGAUCAUGCCACUGCACUCCAGCCGGGCAACAGAGCAAGACUUCACCUCAAAAAAAAAAAAAAAAAAAAAAAAAAGAAUAGAUGUUUCCUAGGCUGACUAAUGGAUUAAAAUUCCCCAAUACUGAGGCAUAUGCUAGUCACAAGUCCGAAGUUGUAGAAGAACCAGUAACUCAUGAAUUGGCCUUAGCUUGCUCUUGCACUUGCUUACUUGCUUGCUUGCUUCUUACAGAGGGCGGAUGGAAUAACUCAACAUUCCUUCCUUCCUCCACUGCAACACAAGUUACAUAGGUGAUGAUGUGGUAGUUGAUUGAUCGGCAUCCCCUCAGCACCCAGCUCACUGCAUUGCACACAGUAAGCAGUUAGUAAAUGAGAGCAUCAAAUCAAUACCGUGAUUGGUACAUACUUGAUUCAAUAAUUAUUGGGCACCUACCAUUUUGUUGCCUGCAAUACACCUUUCCCCUUUUGGUGCAGAGGCAUGAGAAGAAUUCUGCCUGUUGCCACCCUUUCUGAAUGCCAUUUAAAAAUUCUUAACUACCUUCUCCAAACCACACACACACAAGUUAUCUUCCUCUCCCACACUCUUGUCUCUUUCUCUUUGUAUUUCAGGGUGUCUACCAGAAGAUGGACCCAAGAUCCAUGGAGGCUCCUGUGACUCAGAUCAACUGCCCUGCCCGGGAAACCUGGUCUCUCCGGAAACCUUGAUUAAACUGCUUUUUCUGACACCUCUUCCUCUACAACCCUUGAUUCUAUCACCAUUGAAACUUCAGAACCAACUCUAACCAUCCCCACCUCCAGGUGAGGGGACUAAUGAGAAUUACUGACAGCCUGAUGGCUACCCCCAAGUCAGUUUCCCUUCAUACUUUACUACAAAUCUGACCAUGUUCCCAUAUUUACUGAGUAAAUUUGAUGAAAUUUACCUAGUCCUGUGUCCUAGAUGUAUCAGGGAGAGGGAAGAGAAAGGAUAAAGGAAGUUGAGAGCUGGGAUAGGAAUUAGAGGCAAAGGGCUUAUGUAGGGAGCAGAGAGCUAAAAUUCUAGUCAGGCACCUCUUUCUGAGGUGAUGGGGGAGUAUACUGGGAGCAAACUCUUCUAGAGAAAGCAUGGUGUGGUAAAAGAAAACCAAGCUUGGAUUCAGAAAUCACCAUCAGCACUUGCUGUUUGACCUUAAAUUCCUCAUCUGUCAGAUUAAAAGGUCUCGGCCGGGCAUGGUGGCUCACGCCUGUAAUCCCAGCACUUUGGGAGGCUGAGGCAGGCGGAUCACCUGAUGCUGGGAGUUCGGGACCAGCCUGACCAACAUGGAGAAACCCUGUCUCUACUAAAAAUACAAAAUUAGCUGGGCCUGGGGUGGCACAUGCCUGUAAUCCCAGCUACUCGGGAGGCUGAGGCAGGAGAAGCGCUUGAACCUGGGGAGGCGGAGGUUGCGGUAAGCCGAGAUCACGCCACUGCACUCCAGCCUGGGCAACAAGAGUGAAACUCCAUCUCAAAAAAAAAAAAAAAAGAUUAAAAGGUCUAUAAAGUCCCUAUUAAGCACCAUGAGUAUAAAGGGACUCAAACUGACCUCUGCAGAUUCUUGAUUCCAGCUUUUUUGUUUUUGUUUUGUUUUGAGAUGAAGUCUCGCUCUUGUCCCCCAGGCUGGAGUGCAUGGCGUGAUCUCGGCUCACUGCAACCUCCACCUCCCGG
rnacentral:lncRNA from 1 species